UAAAGCUACUAAGGGCAUACGGAGGAUGCCUAGGUACAUGAAGCCGAUGAAGGACGUGGUAAGCUGCGAGAAGCUUCGGUGAGGUGCAAACAACCUUAGACCCGGAGAUUUCCGAAUGGGGCAACCCAUCUUGAGUUAUGUCAAGAUACUCCCAUCUGAAUAUAUAGGAUGGGGUGAGGUAACGGGGCGAACUGAUACAUCUAAGUAGCCCCAGGAAGAGAAAAUAAUAAUGAUUCCCUGAGUAGCGGCGAGCGAACGGGGAAGAGCCUAAACCAUUAACGUGCCAAGCUUGCAGGCGUUGCGUUAGUGGGGUUGUGGGAUCAGUCUAGAGUCAGCUGCAAUUGAUUCGACAAGUCAAAAAAUCUGAAGUUAGUUGAAGAGAAUGGAAAGUCUCUCCAUAGAAGGUGAUAGGCCUGUAAACGAAAACUGAAGAUCUUGUUGAGAUUGACACCCGAGUAGCGCGGGACACGAGAAAUCCUGUGUGAAUCUCCCAGGACCAUCUGGUAAGGCUAAAUACUCUCAUGUAACCGAUAGUGAACUAGUACCGUGAGGGAAAGGUGAAAAGUACUCCUAUGUGGAGAGUGAAAUAGAACCUGAAACCGUAUGCCUACAAGCGGUCAGAGUCCCGAUUCGUCGGGAUGAUGGCGUGCCUUUUGUAUAAUGAGCCAACGAGUUGCUCGUAUGUUGCAAGGUUAAGUCUAAAAGGACGGAGCCGAAGGGAAACCGAGUCUGAAUAGGGCGUUUAGUAGCAUGCGGCAGACCCGAAACCGAGUGAUCUAGCCAUGGCCAGGUUGAAGUUCCGGUAACACGGAAUGGAGGACCGCACCCACCAGCGUUGAAAAACUGGGGGAUGAGCUGUGGUUAGGGGUGAAAGGCCAAUCAAACUCGGAGAUAUCUGGUUCUCGCCGAAAUGCCUUUAGGGGCAGCGUCAUAAUAGUGUAUCGGGGGUAGAGCACUGAAUGGGCUAGGGGGCCUACAAGCUUACCAACCCCAAUUAAACUCCGAAUACCGAAUACAUGUUUUAUGGCAGUGAGACUGCGGGGGAUAAGCUUCGUAGUCGAAAGGGAAACAGCCCAGACCAACAGCUAAGGUCCCUAAAUCUAUGCUAAGUGACAAAGGAUGUCAAAUCACCCAGACAGCUAGGAGGUUGGCUUAGAAGCAGCCAUCCUUUAAAGAAAGCGUAAUAGCUCACUAGUCGAGGGGUUUUGCGCCGAUAAUAUCCGGGACUGUAAGCAUAGUACCGAAGCUUUGGGAUCCAUUUAUGGAUCGGUAGGCGAGCGUUCUAUUAACCUGUGAAGGUUGACCCGCGAGGGCAGCUGGAGGAGAUAGAAAUGAGUAUGUUGGCACGAGUAGCGAUAAAGUCCGUGAAAUUCGGACUCGCCGAAAGCCCAAGGGUUCCUGAGUAAAGUAACUCUGCUCAGGGUUAGUCGGAUCCUAAGCCGAGGCCGAAAGGCGUAGGCGAUGGAAAACAGGUUUAAUAUUCCUGUACCGGUACAUGAUUGUUUGAACUAUGGGGGGACGCAGAAGUGAAAGGUUAGCCUGGUUUUGAUUGUCCAGGUUUAAGUGCGUAGGAGGUUCCAAUAGGCAAAUCCGUUGGAACACUACUCCGAGACACGAAUAGGAGGGCUUAGCCCACAAACUGACCCUAAACAUGCUGCCAAGAAAAGCCUCUAUGUUAGAUCAUGGACCGACCGUACCCUAAACGGACACACGUGGGCGAGGAGAGUAUCCUAAGGCGCUUGAGAGAAUCCAAGUAAAGGAACUAGGCAAAUUAGCCCCGUAACUUCGGGAGAAGGGGUGCCUCGAUUAGGUGAAGUUCUUCGCGAAUGGAGCUGAAAGAGGUCGCAGUGACCAGGCCCAAACGACUGUUUACUAAAAACACAGGUCUCUGCUAAGUCGUAAGACGAAAUAUAGGGACUGACACCUGCCCGGUGCUGGAAGGUUAAAUGGAGGGGUUAGACUUCGGUCGAAGCUCUGAAAUGAAGCCCCAGUAAACGGCGGCCGUAACUAUAACGGUCCUAAGGUAGCGAAAUUCCUUGUCGGGUAAGUUCCGACCUGCACGAAUGGUGUAACGAUUUGGGCACUGUCUCUACUUGGAGCUCAGCGAAACUGAAGUGUCGGUGAAGAUACCGGCUACCCGCGGCAGGACGAAAAGACCCCGUGAACCUUUACUAUAGCUUAGCAUUGGAUUCUGGUUCUAUAUGUGUAGGAUAGGUGGGAGGCUUUGAAGCUUCAACGCUAGUUGGAGUGGAGCCAUCCUUGAAAUACCACCCUUGUAUUGCUAGAAUUCUAAUCUUGACCCUUGAAUCAGGGCAGGAAACAGUGUUAGGUGGGUAGUUUGACUGGGGCGGUCUCCUCCUAAAAAGUAACGGAGGAACCCAAAGGUCUCCUCAGCACGGUCGGUAAUCGUGCGUAGAGCGCAAAGGCAUAAGGAGGCUUGACUGCGAGGUCGACGGACCGAGCAGGUACGAAAGUAGGGCUUAGUGAUCUGGUGGUACCGUAUGGAAGGGCCAUCACUCAAUGGAUAAAAGGUACUCCGGGGAUAACAGGCUUAUCUCCCCCAAGAGUUCACAUCGACGGGGAGGUUUGGCACCUCGAUGUCGGCUCAUCACAUCCUGGGGCUGAAGAAGGUCCCAAGGGUUGGGCUGUUCGCCCAUUAAAGUGGUACGUGAGCUGGGUUUAGAACGUCGUGAGACAGUUCGGUCUCUAUCCGCCGUGGGCACAAGAGAUUUGAGGGAAUCUGCAUCUAGUACGAGAGGACCGAUGUGGACGAACCUCUGGUGCACCAGUUGUCUCAUCAGAGGCAUCGCUGGGUAGCUAUGUUCGGACAGGAUAAGCGCUGAAAGCAUAUAAGUGCGAAGCCUAUCCCAAGAUGAGAUCUCUCUACCGUUAAGGUAAUAAGGCUCGUUGGAGACUACAACGUUGAUAGGCCACAGGUGUAAGUUCAGUAAUGAAUUCAGCCGAGUGGUACUAAUAUGCCGAAUGGCUUUAUCAA
rnacentral:rRNA from 1 species